AACGAACGCUGGCGGCAUGCCUAACACAUGCAAGUCGAACGAGACCUUCGGGUCUAGUGGCGCACGGGUGCGUAACGCGUGGGAACCUGCCUUUAGGUUCGGAAUAACUCAGAGAAAUUUGAGCUAAUACCGGAUGAUGUCUUCGGACCAAAGAUUUAUCGCCUUUAGAUGGGCCCGCGUUGGAUUAGCUAGUUGGUGGGGUAAAGGCCUACCAAGGCGACGAUCCAUAGCUGGUCUGAGAGGAUGAUCAGCCACACUGGGACUGAGACACGGCCCAGACUCCUACGGGAGGCAGCAGUGGGGAAUAUUGGACAAUGGGCGAAAGCCUGAUCCAGCAAUGCUGCGUGAGUGAUGAAGGCCUUAGGGUUGUAAAGCUCUUUUACCCGAGAUGAUAAUGACAGUAUCGGGAGAAUAAGCGCCGGCUAACUCCGUG
rnacentral:rRNA from 1 species